rnacentral:rRNA from 1 species
CGCGCAGGCGGCAUCGCAAGUCGGUCUUAAAAAGUGCGGGGCUUAACCCCGUGAGGGGACCGAAACUGCGAAGCUCGAGUGUCGGAGAGGAAAGCGGAAUUCCUAGUGUAGCGGUGAAAUGCGUAGAUAUUAGGAGGAACACCAGUGGCGAAAGCGGCUUUCUGGACGACAACUGACGCUGAGGCGCGAAAGCCAGGGGAGCAAAACGG